AUCAUUCAGCCGCGUGAGUGAAGAAGGCCUUCGGGUUGUAAAGCUCUUUCGGCCGGGAAGAAAUCGCAUGGGCUAAUACCCUGUGUGGAUGACGGUACCGGAAUAAGAAGCACCGGCUAACUACGUGCCAGCAGCCGCGGUAAUACGUAGGGUGCGAGCGUUAAUCGGAAUUACUGGGCGUAAAGCGUGCGCAGGCGGUUUAGUAAGACAGGCGUGAAAUCCCCGGGCUCAACCUGGGAACUGCGCUUGUGACUGCUAAGCUAGAGUACGGCAGAGGGGGGUGGAAUUCCACGUGUAGCAGUGAAAUGCGUAGAGAUGUGGAGGAACACCGAUGGCGAAGGCAGCCCCCUGGGCCGAUACUGACGCUCAUGCACGAAAGCGUGGGUAGCAAACAGGAUUAGAUACCCUGGUAGUCCACGCCCUAAACGAUGUCAACUAGGUGUUGGGUGGGUAAAACCAUUUAGUACCGUAGCUAACGCGUGAAGUUGACCGCCUGGGGAGUACGGCCGCAAGGUUAAAACUCAAAGGAAUUGACGGGGACCCGCACAAGCGGUGGAUGAUGUGGAUUAAUUCGAUGCAACGCGAAAAACCUUACCUACCCUUGACAUGUUCAGAAUCCUGAAGAGAUUUGGGAGUGCCCGAAAGGGAGCUGGAACCAGGUGCUGCAUGGCUGUCGUCAGCUCGUGUCGUGAGAUGUUGGGU
rnacentral:rRNA from 1 species